rnacentral:rRNA from 1 species
GACGUAGGGCGCGAGCGUUGUCCGGAUUUAUUGGGCGUAAAGAGCUCGUAGGCGGCUCGUUGCGUCGGCUGUGAAAACCCGCAGCUCAACUGUGGGCUUGCAGCUGAUACGGGCGGGCUUGGAUUCGGUAGGGGAGACUGGAAUUCCUGGUGUAGCGGUGAAAUGCGUAGAGAUCGUAAGGAAGACCAGUGGCGAAGGCGAGUUUCUGGACAGUUACUGACGCUGAGGCACGAAGGCCAGGGGAGCAAACGGG